CCUACGGGUGGCAGCAGUCGAGAAUCAUUCACAAUGGGGGAAACCCUGAUGGUGCGACGCCGCGUGGGGGAAUGAAGGUCUUCGGAUUGUAAACCCCUGUCAUGUGGGAGCAAAUUAAAAAGAUAGUACCACAAGAGGAAGAGACGGCUAACUCUGUGCCAGCAGCCGCGGUAAUACAGAGGUCUCAAGCGUUGUUCGGAAUCACUGGGCGUAAAGCGUGCGUAGGCUGUUUCGUAAGUCGUGUGUGAAAGGCGCGGGCUCAACCCGCGGACGGCACAUGAUACUGCGAGACUAGAGUAAGGGAGGGGGAACCGGAAUUCGUGGUGUAGCAGUGAAAUGCGUAGAUAUCGAGAGGAACACUCGUGGCGAAGGCGGGUUCCUGGACAUUAACUGACGCUGAGGCACGAAGGCCAGGGGAGCGAAAGGGAUUAGAUACCCGGGUAGUC
rnacentral:rRNA from 1 species